GUGGGCCUCACGGAAGGAAAUGUGGGGAUUGAGUGACCACCGUUUGAAACAUUCGUAUGGCCACCAAGUUAAUUAGGUCAGGAGCAAAAGGCUCUCUGCCGCAGCAGUUGUCUCAGAGCCCUUUCUUCUUCUCCAGAGCAAAAGAAGAAAAAGAAAAAUCCGUCUCCAGCAGCUAGAAAUUAAAAAAAAAAUUUUAAAAAAAAUGCUUGAAGAAUCACUGCCGUCCAUCUGGGCUUCCAUGCACAGCUGGUUGAUCCCUACCGUCCUCUUCAUCCUCAUCAACGUCGUCAUCAGCACCAUUUCCUUCUCUUCCUCCCAAAAGGAAGAAAAGAACCCCAAACCCCAGCUCGCCUGCACCUCCUCCGUUUUAGAAAGGCUCAGAUCCUUCAAUCUCUACCGUCUAAAAGCGGAAGAUAUCCCUCCCGUUGGCACGCCCCCCAUCGUUACCCCCAAAUGAUCAUCAUCACCCACCACCGGUUCCGUUAAUCCGGUUAGGAUUUCGGCGGCAGCAGCAUUGGGCGCGGUCAGAAAAUGAGCAGUAGGAAGGAAGAGGAGCGGAACGAGAAAAUUAUCAAAGGUUUGAUGAAACUUCCUCCGAAUCAGAGAUGCAUCAACUGCAAUAGCCUGACAACGGAGAUAAACAAGGCUGAUUGGAAUACCCUUUUUGAGCCCUACCCUUUCUUUGAUGCAUACAAUAACUAUCUGGAGAUUGACAUCAUUUUCUGAUCACUGCAGAAAAUGAUGAUGACCUGAGGAAAUGGAAAGGCUGGUUUGAAUCUCAGCUCUGCCAACUGACAUUGAAGGUGAAAGGGUUUCUGUUCAUUUAAGAAUUAUAUGAUCCUGGACCAAUGGAUAUAUAGCAUCCUUUGCCAAGGUUGGUGGAUACACAGUGGAGUAAAAGGGAGACAACACUAGUGCAGUGAGAGGAGCAGGAUAAUGAGAAAGUGGAUAUGAGAAGGCUUGUUGAUUGGAACCAAUCAAAGGAAGUCUUGAAGCUAAUUGCAAUACCUGCUAAAAGCUUCAAAAAAUGGGUUCAAUUCCUUGCCCAAAAACAUAUCAGUAUGUAUUCAAUUAUCUUUCGUUGUGCUUCAGUGUUAUAAUCAGGAUAAUCUAUGUUGGAUCAUUGAUGAUGGUUUUGUACGUCACAUGUCUAGUCACCAAAACAUUGUACAUCAGCAUGUCUGCCAUUAGAGUUAUUUUUUCCCUGGUAUUUGUUGUAAAG